AUUGAACGCUGGCGGCAUGCCUUACACAUGCAAGUCGAACGGCAGCACGGAGCUUGCUCUGGUGGCGAGUGGCGAACGGGUGAGUAAUAUAUCGGAACGUACCCUAGAGUGGGGGAUAACGUAGCGAAAGUUACGCUAAUACCGCAUACGAUCUAAGGAUGAAAGUGGGGGAUCGCAAGACCUCAUGCUCGUGGAGCGGCCGAUAUCUGAUUAGCUAGUUGGUAGGGUAAAAGCCUACCAAGGCAUCGAUCAGUAGCUGGUCUGAGAGGACGACCAGCCACACUGGAACUGAGACACGGUCCAGACUCCUACGGGAGGCAGCAGUGGGGAAUUUUGGACAAUGGGCGAAAGCCUGAUCCAGCAAUGCCGCGUGAGUGAAGAAGGCCUUCGGGUUGUAAAGCUCUUUUGUCAGGGAAGAAACGGUGAGAGCUAAUAUCUCUUGCUAAUGACGGUACCUGAAGAAUAAGCACCGGCUAACUACGUGCCAGCAGCCGCGGUAAUACGUAGGGUGCAAGCGUUAAUCGGAAUUACUGGGCGUAAAGCGUGCGCAGGCGGUUUUGUAAGUCUGAUGUGAAAUCCCCGGGCUCAACCUGGGAAUUGUAUUGGAGACUGCAAGGCUAGAAUCUGGCAGAGGGGGGUAGAAUUCCACGUGUAGCAGUGAAAUGCGUAGAUAUGUGGAGGAACACCGAUGGCGAAGGCAGCCCCCUGGGUCAAGAUUGACGCUCAUGCACGAAAGCGUGGGGAGCAAACAGGAUUAGAUACCCUGGUAGUCCACGCCCUAAACGAUGUCUACUAGUUGUCGGGUCUUAAUUGACUUGGUAACGCAGCUAACGCGUGAAGUAGACCGCCUGGGGAGUACGGUCGCAAGAUUAAAACUCAAAGGAAUUGACGGGGACCCGCACAAGCGGUGGAUGAUGUGGAUUAAUUCGAUGCAACGCGAAAAACCUUACCUACCCUUGACAUGGCUGGAAUCCUUGAGAGAUCAGGGAGUGCUCGAAAGAGAACCAGUACACAGGUGCUGCAUGGCUGUCGUCAGCUCGUGUCGUGAGAUGUUGGGUUAAGUCCCGCAACGAGCGCAACCCUUGUCAUUAGUUGCUACGAAAGGGCACUCUAAUGAGACUGCCGGUGACAAACCGGAGGAAGGUGGGGAUGACGUCAAGUCCUCAUGGCCCUUAUGGGUAGGGCUUCACACGUCAUACAAUGGUACAUACAGAGCGCCGCCAACCCGCGAGGGGGAGCUAAUCGCAGAAAGUGUAUCGUAGUCCGGAUUGUAGUCUGCAACUCGACUGCAUGAAGUUGGAAUCGCUAGUAAUCGCGGAUCAGCAUGUCGCGGUGAAUACGUUCCCGGGUCU
rnacentral:rRNA from 1 species